rnacentral:piRNA from 1 species
UGUCCAUACACCAGAAGAACCGAGGCUCA